rnacentral:rRNA from 1 species
UAGGGAAUCUUCCGCAAUGGACGAAAGUCUGACGGAGCAACGCCGCGUGAGUGAUGAAGGCUUUCGGGUCGUAAAACUCUGUUGUUAGGGAAGAACAAGUACGAGAGUAACUGCUCGUACCUUGACGGUACCUAACCAGAAAGCCACGGCUAACUACGUGCCAGCAGCCGCGGUAAUACGUAGGUGGCAAGCGUUAUCCGGAAUUAUUGGGCGUAAAGCGCGCGCAGGCGGUUUCUUAAGUCUGAUGUGAAAGCCCACGGCUCAACCGUGGAGGGUCAUUGGAAACUGGGGAACUUGAGUGCAGAAGAGAAAAGCGGAAUUCCACGUGUAGCGGUGAAAUGCGUAGAGAUGUGGAGGAACACCAGUGGCGAAGGCGGCUUUUUGGUCUGUAACUGACGCUGAGGCGCGAAAGCGUGGGGAGCAAACAGGAUUAGAUACCC